AACGAACGCUGGCGGCAUGCCUAACACAUGCAAGUCGAACGAGACCUUCGGGUCUAGUGGCGCACGGGUGCGUAACGCGUGGGAACCUGCCCUUAGGUUCGGAAUAACUCAGAGAAAUUUGAGCUAAUACCGGAUGAUGUCUUCGGCCCAAAGAUUUAUCGCCUUUCGAUGGGCCCGCGUUGGAUUCGCUUGUUGGUGGGGUAAAGGCCUACCAAGGCGACGAUCCAUAGCUGGUCUGAGAGGAUGAUCAGCCACACUGGGACGGAGACACGGCCCAGAAUCCUACGGGAGGCAGCAGUGGGGAAUAUUGGACAAUGGGCGAAAGCCUGAUGCAGCAAUGCCGCGUGAGUGAUGAAGGCCUUAGGGUUGUAAAGCUCUUUUACCCGAGAUGAUAAUGACAGUAUCGGGAGAAUAAGCUCCGGCUAACUCCGUG
rnacentral:rRNA from 1 species